GCCUAACACAUGCAAGUUGAGCGAUAGGGUGACUGAGGAGAGAUCUGAGGUUAUUCUAUAGCAGCGGACGGGUGAGUAACGCAUGGGUGAACUGCCCACAGGAGGGGGAUAACUUUGGGAAACUGGAGCUAAUACCCCGUAAGUCGGGAGACGAAAGGUGAGAACUGCCUGUGGAUGUGCCCGUGUCCUAUUAGCUAGUUGGUGGGGUAAUGGCCCACCAAGGCGAUGAUGGGUAGCCGGCCUGAGAGGGUGUCCGGCCACACUGGAACUGAGAUACGGUCCAGACUCCUACGGGAGGCAGCAGUGGGGAAUUUUGGGCAAUGGGGGGAACCCUGACCCAGCGACGCCGCGUGAGGGAAGAAGUCCUUCGGGACGUAAACCUCUGUUGUGGAAGAAGAAGGAAGUGACGGUAUUCCACGAGGAAGCCCCGGCUAACUACGUGCCAGCAGCCGCGGUAAUACGUAGGGGGCGAGCGUUAUCCGGAAUUACUGGGCGUAAAGGGCUCGUAGGCUGUUGUGUAAGUCUGUCGUUUAAGGCUACGGCUCAACCGUAGAGAUGCGAUGGAGACUGCGCGACUAGGGUGCAGGAGAGGUAAGCGGAAUUCCCGGUGUAGCGGUGGAAUGCGUAGAUAUCGGGAGGAACACCGGUGGCGAAGGCGGCUUACUGGUCUGUAACCGACGCUGAGGAGCGAAAGCCAGGGUAGCGAACCGGAUUAGAUACCCGGGUAGUCCUGGCCGUAAACGAUGGACACUAGGUGUGGGGAGCUUUC
rnacentral:rRNA from 1 species